rnacentral:lncRNA from 1 species
UGGUGGAAAAUUCUUGAUAAUUCCAUAAUUCGAAUAGAAAGAAGUUACAACGUUAAUCAAAACAUAGUUAAACAAUCUUAACAAAGGUGAUUAUAAUAAAUUAUUAUACAUACAAUAAUAGAAUGUGACUGUGUCUGUGUCUGCAUAUUCUCAACCAGAUCCUCCGGGUGAGCUGUGACUAGGAGGAGCAUUAAUCCCUGUCAAAAUCCUGCGGAGUUUUGGCAUCUGAUCUUCGUGAAUAAAGUUGCCCUUUUGAAUGUGGUCGGAAACAUAUUUUGACAUCAUCGGAUGCUUUCCUGCAUCUUCAUAAGCAUAUGAAUGGGUAUUGAUUCUCUGAUUCCCAAUUUUCUCUUUCCUUGGUUCCAAUUCAAGUUGAAUAGCAAGUGAGGAUGAAACAGCAACAAUCAAGAUCAUCAACAUCACCAACUUCAUCAUCUACCUAGCUACUUUCAAAUUUGCUGCACUUUUGUUAAUAAUUAAUGUAUGAAUAAGACGAUGAGCAUAAAUAAAAUUCAAAGUUAACAAAAAAGUAAUAUAGUUAAAAAGUAAAAACAAAUUGAAGGUCUUGCGCAGUGUAUUGCAGUCUUCAAUUCUUAAAAAUUACACCUGUUUCUAAAUAUCAAAAAUAAAAAUAUAUGAAAUAUCUAUCUAAACCGGAGUGAUAAAGACACUUGUACAUACUAGGUUUAACGUGAAUCUGAAUAAAUAAAAGGUUUUAAAUUCUACUUUUUCAAUUUCCAAUCCCAAUUUUAAAAAACGACGCUUAUAGUCUAUGCUAGUUGUCACGGUUUCAGAUUUUAGCAAUCGUCAGGAACCGUGCGGCACUUGACUUGAACACCUUCAAGCCAAGUCAGCCUUAAGAAUCACCUAAUAUCCUGUGAACAUGAAUACCCUGAUUAGUCAAUGUUAUAUAAAUGAACAACGAAGCCAACAGACAGCAUUCCAUCAGAAGCCUCACAGUAGGUACAAAAGAUAAGAACUGAACAUGGAAAUUCAUGAACAGGCUACUUAUUUUAUUAUAGGGGCAAAAUAGUAAUUAUACAUUAUCAUCGAUGCAAUCGUUACAAUAAUUCUCACCUCCCUUGUAGACAGGGGGGACGGUCUACAAGGAGUGAAGGAACAACUUGGAUCUCCGUAGGCCUACGGUAGCCAACUGGGCCCAGCCCCAGCUGGUGGCCAACUAGUCACUCCCCCCUAAAGAGCCUUAAGAACAACUUGGCCUAUGGCAGGAGGAGACAUCAACAUGUCUCAUAUGACACCCCCCCUAAAACAAAUACAUGGAAAAGAAUUACAACAAAUUGUCUCGGCCAUUAUCUUCCUACUAAUUUCUACUAUUUUAUCCUAAUAUUGCUUUCUAGGAAUUCCAAUGUUGGAAAAUUACAGUUUUGGUCCCUGAAAACUCUAUGACCCUGACACUCCCCCACUUAAACGGUCGACGUCCUCGUCGACUGGGUUUGUUGGGGUUCUUCAAUCUUUGAGUCCGACAUUCUUAGGCUUGUAGUGUGAUUUGAUCCCAGUCCUGCUCCAUUAAAUUGUUGGACAGCCUUAAUCCUUAGUAUCUCCUCCCAAUUGAUCUCUGUGGACUGCUACUUCUUAAUGAUGAUGAGACUACAAAAGCUCUAUCUUCUGGUGGUAAAUGUUCUGCCCUUGAUUCCUUAGACUACUGCAAACGGUGCUAGAAAGUAUUGCUCUCCUCCUCUGCACGAACUUAUUGCUUGAAGUCAUUGAUCACUGGUUCUUUUCUCUGCACGAACUCAUUGCCUGAAGUCAUUGAUCACUAGUUCUUUUCUCCUAAACCUGUCUCGCCAUUACUCGUCUUUACUUGUCGACCUUACUCCUCGCCUCAAAAAGCAUGACCCCAUCAGGCAACAAAUCUAUCAACCUGCAUACACUCGUGCCACACGACAUCGUGAUUAACCUGUAAUAGUCUCAUAAGAAAGAUUAGUACCACCCAUGUCAGAUUCAAAUACAAAUUAGUAUAGCAAGUCAUCUAAAAUACAACCCAUUACAACUCAACAGGUGUGCCAAUCACACUUGACCACUAAGACUUGAACUGAUUUUAUCCAUUCCCUUGACAUAACACCACAUUAUCCCACUUGCAGCGAAGCUCGGCGAAUACUCCUAAGAAAUCGGUGUCUCCAUUGUCAAUAGAGAUCACUCCACACUCUCUUUCUCUUUUGUCCGUUUUACAGUCCUCCCUUCAUAAGCUUUGGUAUUAUGCUCACUUAAUCUCCUUUUUCUCUCUCCCUAAGAAUGUAGUUAAAGCAAAAUGCUUACAAAAUGACACACAUCACACACCAAAUAACCACGACCACUGAACCCUAUGAGCCGCAGAAGACUACUCAAAACAGCUACUAAGAUUGACUAUACAUAAAGCAAUUAAUAUCAUCAUUAUGAUUCAAUAAUAAGAAAUUACUAGAAGAUACCCCCUUUAUUAUGCCGCUUUCAUCAUAGCUCUCAACAUCGACUUGCCUCACCAACUUAGCUUAAGCAACCUGUGCUUCUCGACCUAUCUCGGUCCUCUUCCAUGUUGAUCCACUUGUGAGAACUUUUGUUUAGCCCUGAGGUCUCUUUCCUGCUCAACAACAAGGGUAGGACUAAAUUUGUCCUUUUAAUUAUACAUUAUUUUCCAAUCCUCUUUUUAAGGAAGCUAUACCCUGUAUGUUCACAAUAUCUGUUAGCACCAACUUGUCAAGUCCCACAUCACGAGGAACCUGGCUCAAUAAUACACAAAAUAUCUAAAAAAUGAAUAACUAAAAUGAAGUAAGACAAAGAAUAAUAUCAGGAAACACCAAAGCACUAUACUUGUCUGGUGUGAGAGAGUUCCCUCUUGUUAAAUUCCCUUCUCUCGUACUGAAUUGUCACUAAGGAUCUCCACCUCUCCUCAUUACCUUGAGCCCCACACUCCUUUGACUAGCUCACUGGUCCUCACUUUUGCCAGUUUCCACUUAUCCUCCUUCUUGUGUCGUAGGACGAGUGAAUUCCUUGCUUUCACAGCCCUGUUGCUCUCAAUGGAAUUUGAUACAACUCUCGCCCAAUGUCACCCUACAUGCCUCUUGGUUGUCCGAUCAAAAUGUUCACUUACCUCAAAGAGAAUGAACAUGUGCUCUGCAAUCAUAGUUGGUUGGCACCUAUCAUCCAUUGUUUCAUACUCUUGUAAUUGUUAUUUUCCUUUUUAGGGUAUGCCUUUCCUAUUUUGAUGCUCGUUUUCUGUAUUCCUGUAAAGGAUAUGUUUUUGAGAGAUGAGGCAACUACCACUUUUGAUCUAUCACCAUCUCAUCCACACCAGUGUUUCACAUGGAUCCCUCAAGGCUCUUCUUUCUGCACUAACAACAUUGCACAACCUAGCAAGAGUUACAGGAGCAAUAACUUGCUCACUAAUUACGCACCAGGAUCAAGUAAUUUAUAAAAGAAUAUCAUAACAGUUGAUAACCAUGGUACUCAUUUCUCAUAAUGACCACAUUUAUUUAUUUACCUAUUUUGUUCCACUUACUCACAAAUAGACAAUACUUCAUCGAAUGCUACUUUUUGUCGAGUUUACUCUUGCACCCCCUCGUGCUAGAUAGCCACUAGGUUCUUCUUCACUACUCUUGCUUACCUCUCCUUUAUCAAGGAACAAUUAUUGGACAAUACAGAGAUAACUUGUGCCUUUCUUGGGAGACGCCACACCCAUUAACGUCUCGGAUUCACUACAGGAAGGAAUUGUGAAGUCCAUCUUGCUUUUUGAUGUCCUUGAUUAAGCGAGUUUGUCAAAGGACAUGCUCACAUUAAUCCCUGCACUCAAGUUGUCCGCUUUAUCUCUAUUUCCUCAUAUCAUCCACUUCAGUUUUAGUCUUGAUUCUAGCAAUUGUGUAAACGGUCCACGAAUCUUGUAUCUUGUGCCCGCUUCGUAGCAUCAACUCCAAUGUACCUGACACCGGGCAAUGAUAUGUUGUUUUAUACUAGGUCCGAUUCUCAUUUCCUCUCUUAAAGUCCUCUAUGAGACUUUAAAGAUCUCCUCGUCCGUCCCAUGUCCCUUAUUUGACACAUAACUCGCAGAAUAUUUCCAUCAUGCUUGAUCCCUUCACGCGAACAAUACUACCUUAGACGAGGAGGAACAAGAAAAUACAAACAACUUAGAGUUGACAACUCUAUGAUUUAUACCUUAUGUUCCCUCCUCCCUUACUCACCAAGUCCUUCAAGACCUUCGAAGCAUUUUUGCCCAAGCAAUUUGUAGAAUAAUAUGGCUUUCUUCAUAGAGAACACUUCAUACUGCUUAGUUAUGCCACUUCUAUGUCAUCUUGUUAAUCACAUUUCAGAUCGCUCCCCCACUUACUGCUUUAGCCCAUCUUCUUAGGCGGCUAUCAAUUAGAUACCAGAGUUGAACAUCUCUUUAACUCCUUGGUAAUAGAAUCAACUCAAUCUUAGUCAUCCUUUGCUCUACACCAUAUUCAGGAAGGUUUUAAGCUCAUCCAUGUCUCUUGAAUCUGUUGUCACAAUCCGCUUACUCUAUUAAAGUCAAGUGCCACAUUCUUUCGUGUUAGCCAUAUAUGCUAAACAAUUCCUUUAUGUACUUUCCUUAUGAACACUUUGUUGGAGUUUACCAACUCUCUUGAAUAACGAAUGUUACUUGUAGUAAAAUUGAAGCUUACCAUUUCAUAUCCCUUUUCUCAUGUCCAGUGGGAACGCUCUCUAUCCAUAAGACUUUACACUUUCAUCCUUGGAAUAAAUUUAGCUUUAUAGUUCGAUCACAUAAAUGUUGUUCUUUAUAUAUAUGCACAAUCACAAUUCCCAAUAAUAUUAACAAAUAAGUUCAUAUUAAAGAGAAAAUCAUCUACCUCCAUCCCACGACACAGAUUGAGGUUCUGGGAUUCCACCAUUGCCUACUUCAUAGGCAUUAGCUCGUAAUGCACGCCAUUAAUAAAUGUUCCUCUGGUUCACUUCUGAAGUAUUGCUCAUAGUCUCUCCUAUGUUAUCUUUAAUAUUCUUGCACCAUUCCUGCAAGCAAAAACAAUACAUGAGAGGCUUUUGCCUCACUUUUGUCUCAGAAGGCCUCUUGCCUCAAUUCUAUCUCAGGAGGCCUCUUGCCUCAAUUGUGUCUCAGAAGGCCUCUUGCCUUAAUUUUGAGUGAAAUGGUCUCGGGAUUCUCAGAUGGCCUCAAGCUCUAUUGGCUCAUCCUCCCCCUUAUCACUAUACCUGAGGUCAUUACUCCCUCUCCAAGGGCCACUAAAAGGAAGUAGGUAGCACCUAGUCAUUACCCUCUCUCCAGAAGACAUUUCCAAUGGAGUGUGCAGUACUAGGCUAUUACCUCACUCCCAAUGGUGUCCCGAUGGAGCGUGCAGCACCUCUAGUUAAUAUGGCCAGUCUAGCCCGAAGGCUCAUGCUUUUGUCUUCUUUGCCUCACAAUGUGUUAUUACUCCACGUAGCUUCAUAAUUGGGAGGUCACUACCUCCCCCUUUCCCCACUUUAUGCUCAAGAUCACCCCACUGGGUGUCAUUCGCAUGAAAGAGGCUUUGGAUGGCCUCAAUCUCUCGCCAAUUUGGCUAUCAUUGCCAACAACGUUCAUUUUUUUUUUUCCCAUUUCUAGUGCCUCAAAGCACUUCUAACCAGAAUCAAUCUCCAACGCCUUCUCCUCUUAAGUGGUAUAGACAACCCACCAGGCAGCACGAUUCUCACCCUUCUCUCAAUGGUCUUCGUGCAUUUCUUUUAUAUUGCUCGCAGAUCUUUCUUGCUCUGAUACCAAUUGUCACGGUUUCAGAUUUUAGCAAUCGCCAGGAACCGUGCGGCACUUGACUUGAACACCUUCAAGCCAAGUCAGCCUUAAGAAUCACCCAAUAUCCUGUGAACAUGAAUACCCUGAUUAGUCAAUGUUAUAUAAAUGAACAACGAAGCCAACAGACAGCAUUCCAUCAGAAGCCUCACAGUAGGUACAAAAGAUAAGAACUGAACAUGGAAAUUCAUGAACAGGCUACUUAUUUUAUUAUAGGGGCAAAAUAGUAAUUAUACAUUAUCAUCGAUGCAAUCGUUACAAUAAUUCUCACCUCUCUUGUAGACAGGGGGGACGGUCUACAAGGAGUGAAGGAACAACUUGGAUCUCCGUAGGCCUACGGUAGCCAACUGGGCCCAGCCCCAGCUGGUGGCCAACUAGUCACUCCCCCCUAAAGAGCCUUAAGAACAACUUGGCCUAUGGCAGGAGGAGACAUCAACAUGUCUCAUAUGACACCCCCCCUAAAACAAAUACAUGGAAAAGAAUUACAACAAAUUGUCUCGGCCAUUAUCUUCCUACUAAUUUCUACUAUUUUAUCCUAAUAUUGCUUUCUAGGAAUUCCAAUGUUGGAAAAUUACAGUUUUGGUCCCUGAAAACUCUAUGACCCUGACACUAGUCAUUCGACUUUAAUUCUCAAGAAUUACACUCAACGUCUAAAUAUUAAAAAUAAAAACAUAUAAUGGUUUUUCGUUUUAAAAAAAAAAAACAAAUCAAAGAAUUACCAAACCUUGCCUAAUAUCAAGCAAGCAACUUCCUG